GACGGAGGGCGCGGGCGUUAUUCGUUUUGAUUGGGUGUAAAGGGUACGUAGGCUGCUUCUUGUUUUUUGGCAAAAAGUGCGGAGUGUUCCUACGCAGUUGCCUUUUAUAAUAGGAGCUUGUGUCGAGGAGAGGUUGGGGCAAGUUCUCAAGUAGGGGUAAAAUCCUACGAUAUGAGAACGAACGUCAGUUGGCGAAGGCGCCUUUCUAGUCUCGACAGACGCUAAGGUACGGAAGCUUAGGGCGCAAACGGG
rnacentral:rRNA from 1 species